CUCAAGCUAGUUUAUUAAAAAUAGUUGUUUUGGGGACAACCGAUACAAGUGAUUCUCUUGUGCUUUUGA
rnacentral:tRNA from 1 species